GGGCCUGUGGCGCAGCGGGAGCGCGUCUGACUGGCAGUCAGGAGGUCAGGGGUUCGAAUCCCCUCAGGUCCA
rnacentral:tRNA from 1 species